AUAAUAAUAAUAAUAAUAAUUAGCUAACAUGCAUCACUUCACUUCACAUAUUCAGUUAUUUCUUACCCUCUGUUUGGUUGCAGAGAAAACAAACACACACAAAAAAAAAGCAAAAUUCUUAUCAAACUUUUUGUUUUCCUCAGUGCCAUUGAAACAAACUGUUGAGAUGGGAUUUUUCUCGGGAAACUAAGAGAAAAUCAGAUA
rnacentral:misc_RNA from 1 species